rnacentral:rRNA from 1 species
GAUGAACGCUGGCGGCGUGCCUAAUACAUGCAAGUCGAGCGAACAGACGAGGAGCUUGCUCCUCUGACGUUAGCGGCGGACGGGUGAGUAACACGUGGAUAACCUACCUAUAAGACUGGGAUAACUUCGGGAAACCGGAGCUAAUACCGGAUAAUAUAUUGAACCGCAUGGUUCAAUAGUGAAAGACGGUUUUGCUGUCACUUAUAGAUGGAUCCGCGCCGCAUUAGCUAGUUGGUAAGGUAACGGCUUACCAAGGCAACGAUGCGUAGCCGACCUGAGAGGGUGAACGGCCACACUGGAACUGAGACGCGGUCCAGACUCCUACGGGAGGCAGCAGUAGGGAAUCUUCCGCAAUGGGCGAAAGCCUGACGGAGCAACGCCGCGUGAGUGAUGAAGGUCUUCGUAUCGUAAAACUCUGUUAUUAGGGAAGAACAAAUGUGUAAGUAACUAUGCACGUCUUGACGGUACCUAAUCAGAAAGCCACGGCUAACUACGUG